GAAAUAUAUAUAUAACCAUGCUGGCUUCUAAAGCUUUCAGCCCUGAGCUUUUGUCUUCAUGUGUUCGGGUCUCCAUUUCUGGAAAUGUAAAAUAAAGAUUAUUUUUUGAGCUUUGACCACUCUGAGUCCAGUCUUUUUCUGCCGUCAAAAGAAUUCAAAAGAACGGAAUUUAAUAAUAGCCUCCACAGUCACCUAACCCAGUCAAGAUGGUUUAGGAUGAGAUGGACCGCAGAGUGAAGGCAAAAGGGCCAACAAGUGCUCAGCAUCUCUGGGAACUUCUUCAAGACUGUGGGAAAACCAUUUCAGGUCCGACAGGGACCAGCUGCUCCUGGAAGUACCAAGAUGCAGGAUGAAGCUCAGAGGGGACAGGGCCUUUUCUAUUGUUGCUCCUAAAUUAUGGAAUAACUUGCCCUUGCACGUUAGAGAGGCCCCUUCACUGUCCACUUUUAAUACAUGUCUUAAAACCGAUUUUAAUUCUUUGUCUUUUGACCAUAGUGAGACUUAGUUUCUUGUUUAAUUAAAUCAUUUAUUAACUACUGGUUAAAAAUUGUUUUUGCUUUAAUUUAAUAAUAUAUAAUGUUUAAUAAUAUCUUAUGCAAUUUGUAUUAUUUAUUUCUAAUGUACAGCACUUUAUGUCAGCUGUGGUUGUUUUUAAUGUGCUUUAUAAAUAAAGAUGAUGAUGAUGAACUAGCUCUGUUACAGGCACUUCUGUAUUUUUACCACUGGGGGCAACAAUUCACUCUAUUGCAGUUUUCACUUCACAGGUGUGCCUUGUCAGGGUUCAUCUGUGGAAUUUCUUGUCUUCUUAAUGGGGCUGAGACCAUCAGAUGUGUUGUGCAGAAGUCAGUGCAGUUGCAAAAACCAUCAAGCGCUAUGACAAAACUGGCUGACAUGAGGACCGCCCCAGCAAAGGAAGACCAAGAGUCACCUCUGCUGCUGAGGAUAAAUUCAUCUGAGUCAGCAGCCUCAGAAGUCGCAAGUUAACAGCAGCUCAGAUUAGAGCCCAGAUAAAUGCCACACAGAGUUCCAGUAGCGGACACAUUUCUACAUUCGCUGUUCAGAGGAGACUGCACAAAUCAGGCCUUUGUCGUCCAAUAGCUGCAAAGAAACCACAACUAAGGAAAAGCAACAACCAGAAGAGAUUUGUUUUGUCCAAGACACACAAGGAAUGGACAUUCCAGUGGAAAUCUGUGCUUUGGUCUAAUGAGUCCAACUUGAGAUCUUUGGGUCCACCCACCGUGUCUUUGUGCGACACAGAAAAAGUGAAUAGCUGGUCUCUAAAUUCAUGGUUCCCACCUUGAAGCAUGGAAAAGGAUGUGUGAAGGUGUGAAGAUGCUUUGCUGGUGAUACUUUUGGGCAUUUAUUCAAAACUGAAGGCACACUGAACCAGCAUAGCAACCACAGCAUCCUGCAGCGACAUGCCAUCCUAUCGGGUUUGCAUUUAGUUGGACCAUCAUUUAUUUUUCAACAGGACAAUGACCCCAAAGACACCUCCAGGCUUUGUAAGGACUAUUUGACCAAGAGAAUGAUGGAGGGCUGUACCAGAUGGCCUGGCUUCCACAGUCAGCUGACCUAAACCCAAUGGAGAUGGUUUGGGAUGAGAUGGACCGCAGAGUGAAGGCAAAAGGGCCAACAAGUGCUCAGCAUCUCUGGGAACUCCUUCAAGACUGUUGGAAAACCAUUUCAGGUGACGACCUCAUGAAGCUCAUAGAGACAAUGCCAAGAGUGUGCAAAGCAGUAAUCAAAGCAAAGGGAGGC
ensembl:lncRNA